rnacentral:rRNA from 2 species
GGCGCAAGGGUGAGUAAUGCGAAGGUAACCAACCCUGGAGUUGGGCAUAGCCGCGGGAAACUGCGGGUAAUUCCCAGCGAUGUUACGAGGUGGCAUCAUCUUGUAACCAAAGGUGUGAUUCCGCUCUGGGACGGGCCUUCGUGGUAUUAGCUAGUUGGUAAGGUAACGGCUUACCAAGGCUACGAUGCCUACCGGGUGUGAGAGCAUGACCCGGCACACUGGAACUGAGACACUGUCCAGACACCUACGGGUGGCUGCAGUCGAGAAUCUUCGGCAAUGGGCGAAAGCCUGACCGAGCGACGCCGCGUGAGGGAUGAAGGCCUUCGGGUUGUAAACCUCUUUCGUAGAGGAGGAAGGGGCUGUGAAGAACAGUCCUUGACCUAUUCUAGGAAGAAGCUUGGGCUAAGUUCGUGCCAGCAGCCGCGGUAAGACGAACCAAGCGAACGUUAUUCGGAAUUACUGGGCUUAAAGCGCGUGUAGGCGGAUGGCCACGUCGGUUGUUGAAAUCCCCCGGCUUAACCGGGGAACAGGCACCGAUACGAGUUAUCUGGAGGUGGGUAGGGGAGACUGGAACUUCCGGUGGAGCGGUGAAAUGCGUUGAGAUCGGAAGGAACGCCUGCGGCGAAAGCGAGUCUCUGGCCCCAUACUGACGCUGAGACGCGAAAGCCAGGGGAGCAAGCGGGAUUAGAUACCCCGGUAGUCCUGGCUGU